GAUGAACGCUGGCGGCGUGCCUAAUACAUGCAAGUCGAGCGAACAGACGAGGAGCUUGCUCCUCUGACGUUAGCGGCGGACGGGUGAGUAACACGUGGAUAACCUACCUAUAAGACUGGGAUAACUUCGGGAAACCGGAGCUAAUACCGGAUAACAUGUUGAACCGCAUGGUUCAACAGUGAAAGACGGUCUUGCUGUCACUUAUAGAUGGAUCCGCGCCGCAUUAGCUAGUUGGUAAGGUAACGGCUUACCAAGGCAACGAUGCGUAGCCGACCUGAGAGGGUGAUCGGCCACACGGGAACUGAGACACGUUCCAACCUCCUAGGGAAGGCAGCAGUGGGAAAUCUUCGGCAUGGGGCGAAAGCCGAACGGAGCAACGCGGGGUGAGUGAAGAAGGUCUUCGAAUCGAAAACCUUUGUUAUUAGGGAAGAACAAAGGGGUAAGUAACUAGGCACGUCUGAACGGUACCGAAUCAGAAAGCCACGGCAAACUACGU
rnacentral:rRNA from 1 species